UUAUUAUCACGAGUAGUUCCGAAGAAAGGAGUUGUAGUGAAGGAGUGGAUACAACUGAUCUAAGUGCUAUUGAAUCUGCAAUUGGUCCAUGGACAAAGCUUGUCUGGCUAGAGAGUCCAACAAACCCUCGCUUAUAGAUUUCUGAUAUUCGCAAAAUUGCUGA